rnacentral:rRNA from 1 species
CGGGACACGUGGUAUCCUGUCUGAAUAUGGGGGGACCAUCCUCCAAGGCUAAAUACUCCUGACUGACCGAUAGUGAACCAGUACCGUGAGGGAAAGGCGAAAAGAACCCCGGCGAGGGGAGUGAAAAAGAACCUGAAACCGUGUACGUACAAGCAGUGGGAGCCUCUUAAUGGGGUGACUGCGUACCUUUUGUAUAAUGGGUCAGCGACUUAUAUUCUGUAGCAAGGUUAACCGAAUAGGGGAGCCGAAGGGAAACCGAGUCUUAACUGGGCGUUAAGUUGCAGGGUAUAGACCCGAAACCCGGUGAUCUAGCCAUGGGCAGGUUGAAGGUUGGGUAACACUAACUGGAGGACCGAACCGACUAAUGUUGAAAAAUUAGCGGAUGACUUGUGGCUGGGGGUGAAAGGCCAAUCAAACCGGGAGAUAGCUGGUUCUCCCCGAAAGCUAUUUAGGUAGCGCCUCGUGAAUUCAUCUCCGGGGGUAGAGCACUGUUUCGGCAAGGGGGUCAUCCCGACUUACCAACCCGAUGCAAACUGCGAAUACCGGAGAAUGUUAUCACGGGAGACACACGGCGGGUGCUAACGUCCGUCGUGAAGAGGGAAACAACCCAGACCGCCAGCUAAGGUCCCAAAGUCAUGGUUAAGUGGGAAACGAUGUGGGAAGGCCCAGACAGCCAGGAUGUUGGCUUAGAAGCAGCCAUCAUUUAAAGAAAGCGUAAUAGCUCACUGGUCGAGUCGGCCUGCGCGGAAGAUGUAACGGGGCUAAACCAUGCACCGAAGCUGCGGCAGCGACACUAUGUGUUGUUGGGUAGGGGAGCGUUCUGUAAGCCUGUGAAGGUGUACUGUGAGGUAUGCUGGAGGUAUCAGAAGUGC